GUGAGUCAUCGAAUCUUUGAACGCACAUUGCGCCCUUUGGCAUUCCGAAGGGCAUGCCUGUUCGAGCGUCAUUAUCAACCCUCAAGCCUGGCUUGAUGUUGGACUCCGGUCGUUGGCUCCCCGAUGACCAGUCCCAAAGGCAAUGGCGGCGUCCGGAAGAACCACGGUACACGGAGCUUUCCCCAAAGCACGUAUCGGGGGGGCUCCCGGACACGGUCGAACCUCUUCUUCCACAAGGUUGACCUCGGAUCAGGUAGGAAUACCCGCUGAACUUAAGCAUAUCAAUAAGCGGAGGA
rnacentral:misc_RNA from 1 species